AUGGGUAUUAUUAGUUCGGACAAAAUACUCACAACCGUACUUUGUAGUGUUACUGCUGUUUGUACCGAGCCACUGAUUGAUGUUUCAUUUCAAGUCCUCGAGGUGGCGGUCAAUAGCAUCUUCAGCUUCUUGCAGGCUCUUGAACGGCCCAUCCAGACCAGGAUACGCGUGGAAAGAACCCAAAAGGUCCGUCCUAAUGUAAAAGGUGAAGUACCAAAAGUUACGUUUUAUGACCAAGAAGCUAUUGGAUGUGGAUAUGGCAAGGGAUUGGCAGUGGGAGAUGGUUCCUGCAGUUUUGUAGUGAGCAGGAACUUGCUCAAGGACAAGACAUCCGGUUGUUGCGUCGUCUGCACGGGUGGAGGAGAAGGAGAACACCUGAAUCAAGUACAACAGUUGAGCAUGCUCGAAGGCUCGCUGGAAGAUUUUUACCGGCCGAGAACGGUGCCCUGA
rnacentral:rRNA from 1 species